GUUCCUUACGUUAUUCACGUAAUACCAAAUAUAGGAACAUUCUAAUAGGAGGGGACAAAUCGAAUACGUACCUCUUCCUUCCUGAAACGGAAACUUCCUGAAUAAAGAAACUAUUUUUGCGACGAAAACCCUUAACCACGAAUGAAUAUAUACAGAAAAUCAUUAAUAGGGUUAGGUUGUAACGCAGUCGAAAUUUGCUCGUCUGUCGUGGCAUGACUGAUGUGUUGGGUAAACUUGGGUAUAUAUUAGGCUGUCCCAAAAGUUUCUUUCGUUAUAUUAAUAAGUAAUACUUACUUAUAUUAAGUAAUACUUAAUAUUACUUAAUUUUAUAAUAAUAUAUAUAUUUAUAUAUAUUUAUAUAAUAGUAUAUUUAUACAUUAUUAUAUUUUAUAACAGUAUAUAAUAAUAUAAUAGUACUUAAUAUUUUACGUCUAAUGUUGCAUUAUUGAAUUGUGUCCGAUUCAUUUUGCUCCAUCACUGUUACAUCAAUAUCUAAGAAAUUAGAUUGUCUAUUUAUAUAAAGACCGCACAAAAUAAUUGAGUGCAAAUUACGAAAGAAACUUUUGGGACAACCUAAUAUUUUAUGUUCUGUGUGUCCUGUUUCGUAAUGGCGCAGUCAAGACUUUGAAUAAAAUAAAUGUAUCGAAUUCGGACCUGAUUCUCUCGAAUGGAAAUAAUCGAUCGAGUUACUAGUAAUUUUUAGGCGCAACGUUAGCAGAGUGGUAGCAGUGAGUAUCGAUAAAUGAAGCAACGGUAAGAUUGAAAAUGUAAGGAGAUCUUAACUUAUAAUUGAUAAUAAGUACAUGUUCUUUCUUGUUAUUAUUCCGUGAUACGAUCGAUUUUGAGAUAACGAUGUCUGAGGUUGUUAUCUAUAGUCGAAUCGAUGAGAUUAGAAGCAGAGUUAGUGUAACUCGGUUAGAAAGGUUUUCAAGGGAUAUCGAAGCUUUCUGGAUCGUAAAAAUUUCGCGAGAUUAAGUUUAGACCACCAGUGUGCGGACAAUCGAGUGUUCCGUUAGUGUUUUGGUUCCGUCGAGUGUUGAACUAUUCUGUGGACGACGGAACAAUAGAAUUUCUUACAACCAAGGAUCACGACCUUUGCUGUAACAGGAGAUAAUGAUGCAAGUUCUAUGUUUACAGUAUUACGUCUACUGUAUUUCCUCUGUGCUUCAACGUCAGUGACGAGGAGAAACUGAGAGGACUAUCGAUACACGCAUCAAAGACCAUCAAAAAUGCACCCGAUUACAUCACACAAUCUGCAAUAGCUGAGCAUUCGAAGGAAACCGGUCAUCACGUACAAUAAUGAUGAAACGGAGAGUCUAAUUAAUUCUAACUGCAACUAGCUGCGCCAGAUGUCUCUAGUCGUACUUUUCAUGGCCAGAGGCGAUACUGAUAAAAUAGGAAACCAUUCACAAGGGAAAUUGGACAAGACGAAUACUAGGUUGAAAGAAUCAGGCUUCCAAGGAUCGAAACCUAAUCCCGAUAGCAAUUCCGAUAACAAAGGAGUGUACCUUCAAUUUCUAAGCCGUUGCAAGGUCCACAGAGUAAAUUACUUAGGGUCGUGAUGACGAUACCAGAAUCCUCAUUCAG